AUUCACAUAGGAAGGCUCGCCUACUUGUUGGCAGUGUUCAGACAUGCUGCUGAGCUCGUCUUUAAUUUGACUUUCUCAUUCAAGGUUUCACCAAGGGACAUUAGUGGCUGUGUGUGCUCAUCUGUUGUCUGUGGGGACUGGGUUCCUAGGCUUGAGGUGCUCAGUCUGGAGAGUUUUCCUGGUUUUAUUUUCGCAUUUCCCUGUCCUCCCUUCUGUGUGGUCGGUUGUGUGAUUGGCAGGCUGCUUUGCUCACCAGAGGUGUCUUUCCAGGCUGCCCUGAUGAUCUCACUCAUUUGGAAGUAUUAUUCUGUCCCUGUGGCUGUCGUGCCGAGUAAAUGGAUAACCCCUCUAGACCGCCUGGUAGCCUUUCCUACUAGAGUAGCAGGUGGUGUUGGAAUUACCUGUUGGAUUUUAGUCUGUAACAAAGUUGUCGCUAUUGUGCUUCAUCCGUUCAGCUGAACAGGAGGAUGGAUACAGCCGCGAGGCUAAAAAACGGAUUUCCUCUUACUAGCUUAAAAUCUGAUUUACACUGUUUUGUUUUUUAAGAAACAAAAGUGCACAGUUUAGAUUUUUUUUUGUUGAAUAUGUUUGUUCUUGGACUUUAUGAGAGCGUCUUAGAAGAA
rnacentral:sRNA from 1 species